rnacentral:rRNA from 1 species
GAGACAGCAGUCGCCACGGUAAUACGUAGGGGGCGAGCGGUGUCCGAAGUUACUGGGCGUAAAGCGCGCGUAGGCGGCUUCUUAAGUCUGAGGUGAAAGGUUCAACGCUUAACGUGAACAGUGCCUUGGAUACUGGGGAGCUUGAGUAUGGGAGAGGGCAGUGGAAUGGCUGGUGUAGCGGUGAAAUGCGUAGAUAUCAGUCGGAACACCCAUGGCGAAGGCAGCUGCCUGGCCUAAUACUGACGAUGAGGUGCGAAAGCGUGGGGAGUGAACGGGAUUAGAUACCCCUGUAGUCCCUGUCUCUUAUA